rnacentral:rRNA from 1 species
UACGGAAGGCAGCAGUGGGGAAUAUUGCACAAUGGGCGCAAGCCUGAUGCAGCCAUGCCGCGUGUAUGAAGAAGGCCUUCGGGUUGUAAAGUACUUUCAGCGGGGAGGAAGGCGAUGCGGUUAAUAACCGCGUCGAUUGACGUUACCCGCAGAAGAAGCACCGGCUAACUCCGUGCCAGCAGCCGCGGUAAUACGGAGGGUGCAAGCGUUAAUCGGAAUUACUGGGCGUAAAGCGCACGCAGGCGGUCUGUUUAAGUCAGAUGUGAAAUCCCCCGGGCUUAACCUGGGAACUGCAUUUUGAAACUGGCAGGCUUGAGUCUUGUAGAGGGGGUAGAAUUCCAGGUGUAGCGGUGAAAUGCGUAGAGAUCUGGAGGAAUCCGGUGGCGAAGGCGGCCCCUGGGACAAGACUGACGCUCAGGUGCGAAAGCGUGGGGAGCAAACGAGGAUUAGGAUACCCGG